GACGAACGCUGGCGGCGUGCUUAACACAUGCAAGUCGAACGGAAAGGCCCUGCUUUUGUGGGGUGCUCGAGUGGCGAACGGGUGAGUAACACGUGAGUAACCUGCCCUUGACUUUGGGAUAACUUCAGGAAACUGGGGCUAAUACCGGAUAGGAGCUCCUGCUGCAUGGUGGGGGUUGGAAAGUUUCGGCGGUUGGGGAUGGACUCGCGGCUUAUCAGCUUGUUGGUGGGGUAGUGGCUUACCAAGGCUUUGACGGGUAGCCGGCCUGAGAGGGUGACCGGCCACAUUGGGACUGAGAUACGGCCCAGACUCCUACGGGAGGCAGCAGUGGGGAAUAUAGCACAAUGGGCGGAAGCCUGAUGCAGCAACGCCGCGUGCGGGAUGACGGCCUUCGGGUUGUAAACCGCUUUCGCCUGUGACGAAGCGUGAGUGACGGUAAUGGGUAAAGAAGCACCGGCUAACUACGUGCCAGCGGCCGCGGUGAUACGUAGGGUGCGAGCGUUGUCCGGAUUUAUUGGGCGUAAAGGGCUCGUAGGUGGUUGAUCGCGUCGGAAGUGUAAUCUUGGGGCUUAACCCUGAGCGUGCUUUCGAUACGGGUUGACUUGAGGAAGGUAGGGGAGAAUGGAAUUCCUGGUGGAGCGGUGGAAUGCGCAGAUAUCAGGAGGAACACCAGUGGCGAAGGCGGUUCUCUGGGCCUUUCCUGACGCUGAGGAGCGAAAGCGUGGGUAGCGAACAGGCUUAGAUACCCUGGUACUCCAUGCCAUAAACGGAGGGCGCUAGGUGUGAGUCCCUUCCACGGUUUUUGUGCCGUAGCUAACGCAUUAAGCGCCCCCCCUGGGGAGUACGGCCGCAAGGCUAAAACUCAAAGGAAUUGAGGGGGGCCCGCACAAGCGGCGGAGCAUGUGUAUUAAUUCGAUGCAACGCGAAAAACCUUACCUGGCUUGGACUUACACUGACAUCGCUAUAGAGAUAGUCUUUCCCUUUGUGGCUAGAGUACGAGGUGGUGCAUGGUUGUCCUCCCCUCCUGUCGUGAGAUGUUGGGUUAAUUCCCGCAACGAGCGCAACCCUUGUCUUUAUGUUGCCAGCAUUUUGUUGGGGACUACUGAAAGAACUGCCGGGGUAACUCCGGAGAAAGGGGGGAAGACGACCAAUUCUCUUUCCCCCUAUGUCCAGGGGUUCUCCUCAUGCUCCUAUGGUCGGUACAAACCAUGUGCGAUCCUGUGAGGGGGUGCUAAUCGCUCAAAACCCGUCUAACUCGGAAUAGGGGCCUGCACAUCCACCCCAUAAGUCCGGAGUCUCUUAUAAUCCAAGAUCACCAAUUCUGUGGGGAAUAAGUUUCCGGGGCU
rnacentral:rRNA from 1 species